UUUCGAAAGGAAUGCUAAUACCGCAUACGUCCUACGGGAGAAAGCAGGGGAUCUUCGGACCUUGCGCUAAUAGAUGAGCCUAAGUCGGAUUAGCUAGUUGGUGGGGUAAAGGCCUACCAAGGCGACGAUCUGUAGCGGGUCUGAGAGGAUGAUCCGCCACACUGGGACUGAGACACGGCCCAGACUCCUACGGGAGGCAGCAGUGGGGAAUAUUGGACAAUGGGCGCAAGCCUGAUCCAGCCAUGCCGCGUGUGUGAAGAAGGCCUUAUGGUUGUAAAGCACUUUAAGCGAGGAGGAGGCUACUGAAGUUAAUACCUUCAGAUAGUGGACGUUACUCGCAGAAUAAGCACCGGCUAACUCUGUGCCAGCAGCCGCGGUAAUACAGAGGGUGCAAGCGUUAAUCGGAUUUACUGGGCGUAAAGCGCGCGUAGGCGGCUAAUUAAGUCAAAUGUGAAAUCCCCGAGCUUAACUUGGGAAUUGCAUUCGAUACUGGUUAGCUAGAGUGUGGGAGAGGAUGGUAGAAUUCCAGGUGUAGCGGUGAAAUGCGUAGAGAUCUGGAGGAAUACCGAUGGCGAAGGCAGCCAUCUGGCCUAACACUGACGCUGAGGUGCGAAAGCAUGGGGAGCAAACAGGAUUAGAUACCCUGGUAGUCCAUGCCGUAAACGAUGUCUACUAGCCGUUGGGGCCUUUGAGGCUUUAGUGGCGCAGCUAACGCGAUAAGUAGACCGCCUGGGGAGUACGGUCGCAAGACUAAAACUCAAAUGAAUUGACGGGGGCCCGCACAAGCGGUGGAGCAUGUGGUUUAAUUCGAUGCAACGCGAAGAACCUUACCUGGCCUUGACAUAGUAAGAACUUUCCAGAGAUGGAUUGGUGCCUUCGGGAACUUACAUACAGGUGCUGCAUGGCUGUCGUCAGCUCGUGUCGUGAGAUGUUGGGUUAAGUCCCGCAACGAGCGCAACCCUUUUCCUUAUUUGCCAGCGAGUAAUGUCGGGAACUUUAAGGAUACUGCCAGUGACAAACUGGAGGAAGGCGGGGACGACGUCAAGUCAUCAUGGCCCUUACGGCCAGGGCUACACACGUGCUACAAUGGUCGGUACAAAGGGUUGCUACCUAGCGAUAGGAUGCUAAUCUCAAAAAGCCGAUCGUAGUCCGGAUUGGAGUCUGCAACUCGACUCCAUGAAGUCGGAAUCGCUAGUAAUCGCGGAUCAGAAUGCCGCGGUGAAUACGUUCCCGGGCCCUUGUACACACCGCCCGUCACACCAUGGGAGUUUGUUGCACCAGAAGUAGGUAGUCUAACCGCAAGGAGGACGCU
rnacentral:rRNA from 1 species